rnacentral:lncRNA from 1 species
UCCAACAUAAUUAAGAUGUAUCACUGCACUUAAUUACUAUACAAUUACAGUGGAGCUUUUUAAGAUAUCCAAAGUGCGAUAACCCUUAAGAGAAGGGUAUCAACGCUAAUCCCAGGUCUGUAGCAACUCUUAGGAUUAGCUAUAUAGAGUUAUACACAUUGUCCACAAUACAUAUACAAAAUACGUAUUUCAUACUUGGUUGAACCUAGCUAAUGGGAGAGGAGGGCGCCGGGGUGUUGGCGGCGGUGCCGCCAAGAAGUUCUUGCUGCGAAAAUCCACCAGUAGCAUGCCACCGUACGCUUUAGCCGCCUCAAAGCAAUCCAUGGGCUUCUGGGGAGGUGCUUGAGGAAUCAGGGGUUGCCUAACCUUCUUCCUAGCGAUACCCUCUUCUAACAUGGCGAAGGCUUCCUCUGCAAUUUUGGCAAGUUCCCGUGAAUGAUCCAUGAUUAGUGUUUACUGCUCUGAUAUCUCGUGCUAUCUAUGAGGCUGUGUUCUUUGUGCUGCUUCUGUGUGGUGAAGAACGAAACCCCCCUGGCCCUUUUUAUACCUCCGACUUCUCUGGAAAUAAGGCAAUAAUUCAAAAAGGAAAAGGCGAGGGUGAUGAAGAACCUGAAGAGAUAAGAGAUUUAUGCAUUGGUUUACCUUUCGGUGGCAAACCACGUUUCGCAGAACAAAUUCGUUGAUAUCUAUCCGGUCUUCUUUAUGCGUUGAAGGGAAUAAGACAUAGUCCUGAUCUCAUGGGGUGACGUGAACGAGUGACGAAAGACACGGGUAACGUGACCAUAUGAUCUUGUUUGUGGAAGGAAUAUAGGGGCAAGACUCACAAUUAUCCAGACCUAGCCCGUGUCAUAAAUCGAAUCAUCCAAACCAUAAUAGAUCAUUUUUUUAAAUUGGGUUGACCUUUUCUUUUUUACCUUGUUCUUUUUCUUUGAAAAAUGAGCCAUUUAUUUAGGGUUUAAAUAUUUCACGUAAUAAAUAAAUUUAUCAAAUUAAUAACUGGACAAUUUACUUAUGAUAGCUUCUAAACAACCGUUUGCAAAUUAAUGAUUUAACAACGAGUGUCUAGCCUUGAUCAUAGAAGACAGUUCUAGGUGAAUGUUUAAUUUCAUCACAUGAAAUGUCAAGUGCUCGUUCCUUUUCUUUAGCAAAAUUUUUGUUUUGCCUGCUCUCUCCACCUCAGUUUUUGGAGUUGCUAGCACGGUGCAUGACUAAUUAGUUUAUGAAAAAUAUGUUAAGGAUAUACCGAAAUAAAUUCAUCAUAUUCGACUGUUCAAAUGGAUUAAAUAUGAAUGCAUUCAAUGCAUAUAAUAAAUUAUUUCUCAAGGAAGGUCACAAGACCACCACAAGUUAAAAACUCCAUGAUCAAACUUGCGAUCCAGCAUCUUCUCUUCGUUCUCUUUUUUUAAUGCCUAAUUUUAUUCACUUACUUGAAUGGAUACCGAGUAAUUGCUGUAUGUUCUCCAAGAAUAUUGCGGGCCGGUACUUUUAGACACAUGAUAGUUAUUAAAAGAGUGCUGUUAAGCUAACCGCACCGUUAUUCCUUGCAGAUAAUGGUGCCUUUUUUUACCACACAUUUCCAUUGAGAUGCAAUUGGCAACCGGAACCUACAGAAUAAAGAGACAAUGAGCAAAUAUGGAAUCAUUGAUUGCUUUUGUUCCUCUCUAGAAAAAAAAUAUAGUUUGAUCCGUAUCUCCUCGGCACCUUGACUAACCAUCAUUUGGAACUUCCAUUUAUUUGCAAAAGUGCUGUCUAAUAUCUUUUUGACGAGGAUAUAAUUGGUUUUCGGGUGUUGAAUUACUGAGCAAUAAAUCAUUUCUGUAAUAAUUUGUUUUUGAGUUGAUAUUUAUUUAUUCAACAUAUACAACAAAUAUAAAUUAAGUUUCAGGCUUCCGCAUUUUAGAGUAGGAUGUCUUUGGGAUUCCUAUUUGAAAACCCAACUCGAAUCUAGGAUAGGCUCAAUUUUCGUUUAGGAUUAUUUCAAGUUUGAAAUAAGGUCGACCUCCCAAAUCCACUUCGUUGCGAUAUUUGACUAAGAUAAAUUAGUAGAAGAUUGUACGCAUUUUAUGCUAAAUUAAAUUGAAUAACUUAGUUUAAUUCAACAACUUAACAUCCAUAUAAGUCUAUUCGUAUGAGACAAGUUCAAGGAAACGUAGUAAUCGCAUAUGAAGAAUUAUUCUGAAGGGCGAGAGAAAUGUUUUUAACUGUCAAUUUCAAUAUAUAUAUAUAUAUACAUAUAAAGAUAAACGGAAUUUCAUAUAUUGCAAUUCAUGUAAUUAAAUGAUGAUCUCGCAUAUUAUGCUGCGAAAUGUUCUAUUGAUGAUAUAAAAUGAGACACCUCAUUGACUAUUGAUGAUAUAAAAUGAGACACCUCAUUGACUAUGCACAUGAUCGUAAUUACAUUUCACAAAGUGUUAAUUUAGAUAAAUUUUAACUAUAAUAAUAUAGUAUUCAUAUGUAGGUGUAUUGGCCAUGAUCAUUAAGGAUUUUUGUUUAAUUAAGCGUAAGCUAAGACUAAAUAACCAUCUGGAAGCUAUAGUGUUUUAAAAGGCCACAACUUCCUUGAGACCAAAAGAGCAAGUUAUCAUAUUCUUAGGCAAUAGUUACGCGGUCAAUAACGAACCAUUACUCUACAAAAUGUGAUGGGACCAUCUUGCUCGAUAUAUGUAUAAAAGAUUAUUGUUAAGAAAAAUAUGCAUACACAAUACCAUCUUCAUUGAAUUCAAUUAUACUUAACACAUAAUAUAGUAGAUAAUGUUGUUAUCUAAAUAAUUGAAUAGAUGCAGAUCUAAUAAUCUUUUAUGCUGAUUAUACUUAUAGGUAACACACAAUGGAGAACGUGUUAAUGGAAUCAGUUUUCUAGGAGGUUUGUGUUGAAUGUGAUUGUAUUGUUUUAUCUGAGGAUACGCUUGUUGAAUGUGAAGAAUGUUGUGACAGGAUGAGCUAGUCAUCAUUCUUCUGGAAAAUAACGGACCGUCAACCAAUCAUUUCUGGAAGAAAAUUAAGCAAAAAAAAAAAAAAUAGAGCUUAUCAGAAUGAAGAGAAGAUGCUGGAUUCGCCAGCUAGAUCACAGAGUUUGUAACUUACUUUUGUUCGUCUUUUUACCUUCCUCGAGAAAUAUUUUAUUAUAUGUAUCGAGCAGCAAUUCAUAUUUAAUCAAUCUGAACUGUCGAAUCUAAUAAAUCCAUUUCAUUUUGAUACAUGAUUAACAUUUUUUUAUAAACUAAUUAGUCGCAUAUCAUGCCAGCAACUCCAAAAGCUGAGGUGGAGAGAGAGCGCAAGACAAAAUUUUGAAAAAUAGAAGAAGGAAUGAAAAUGUCACAUGAUCAACCCACCUGUGGAUAGCGCAGUUAGUUGAGAUCUAUCCUUCUAGCGCAUGGAGGUUAAGAGUUCAAAACCCUGCGUUGUUAGCGAUUAAAGCGAGAGGCCCUAGCGGUGGGUUGCUGGGCCAGUUUCUCCCGAGAUAUAUUGUUUGGCAAAUUAAAUCUGGGAGUAUGUCACAUCAUGAGCACCUUUUACCUAAGGGAGACGCUAAACAUUAUAUAGUCGAACAUAAUUAAAAUUUAUUACUACACUUAAUCACUGUUGAAUUACAACAAAGCUUCUUAGGACAUCCAAAGUGCCAUAACCCUUGAGUGAAGGGUAUCGACGCUAAUCCCAGGAAUGCAGCAACUCUUAGGACUAGCUAUAGAUAGUUAUACAUAUUGUCCACAAUACAUAUACAUGAUACGUACUUCAUACUUAGUUGAACCUAUCUAAUGGGAGAGGAGAGCGCCGCGGCAGUGGCGGCGACGAGAAGUUCUUGCCAUGAAAAUCAACCAUUAGCAUGCCGCCAUACGCUUUAGCCGCCUCAAAGCAAUCCAUGGGCAUGUGGGGAAGGGCUUGAGGAAUCAGGGGUUGCCUAGCCAUCUUCUUGGCCACGCCCUCUUCUAACAUGGUGAAGGCUUCCUGUUCAAUUUGGGCAAGUUUGCGUGCAUAAGCUAUGAUAAGUGCUCUGAUACCUCGUGCUAAACUGGCGACUUAGCGAGUGAUCUAUCUAUGAGGCUGUGUUCUUUGUGCUGCUUCUAUGCAGUGAAGAACGGAACCCGCCCGUGGCCCUUUUUAUACGUCCAACUUCUUUGGAAAGAAGGCAAUAAUUCAGAAGGGAAAAAGCGACGGUGAUAAAGAACCUGAAGAGAUAAGAGAUUUAUGCAUUGGUUUUACCUUUGGUGGCAAGCCAUGUUUGGCGGAACAAAUUCGUUGAUAUCUAUCUGGUCUUCUUUAUGCCUUUUAAGAGAAAAGACAUGCCUCUUCUGAUCUCAAAGAGGCAUGAGUGACCAAUGACGUGGGUAAUGUGACCACAUGAUCUUGUUUGUGGAGAGGAUAUAAGGGCAAGAUUCAGAAUCAUCCACUGUAUGCACGGUCCAGACCUAGCAAUUGGGCGGGUUUGGACGAGUCCAGGCUGGGGUCUAACACUGGUCAGUAUCAUAAAUCAAACCACCGAAGCCAUACUAGAUCCUUUUUUAAAUCGGGCUGACAUUUUCUUUUUAGCUUGUUCUUUUUCUUCAAAAAAUCACCCAUACAUUUAGGAUGUAAAUAUUUCGUGUAAUAAAUAACUUCGCCAAAUCAAUAACUAGAAAAUUUACUUAAUAUAGCGUCCAAACAACCGAUCACAAAUUUAUGAUAGCUUCUAAAUAACUGCAUAAAUAGGUCGCUAGGCAUGUAAUGAUAACAAAUAACUAGAAAUUCACUAACUUUUGCAAUCCAUAUAAUUAGAUAAAAUAAAAUUUUUAAACAAGACAGUCUAAGACCAUAGUUCUAUAAGGAGUGUCAUUGAAAGGUAAUAUCGUUCCGAGUUUUAUAUUAUUUGACCAAUUCUAGAAAUACUACGACUUAUCCAGUAAAUAAGUUUACUUAGAGACCGUGUGAAGUAGAUCUUUAAACAAGUAGGUAUGUUAUGAGCACCCUACAAAAUUUUGCCCGAAAAAUUAUCAAAAAAAUCCUACACAUAUUGCAACUUUUCCAAUUUAGUCAUAAAUAUAUUUUUUAGCCAUUCGGUUAUAAACCUUUCAAUUCAAUCCAUUGAACCGACGUUUACGUCGAUAAUAUUUUAAUAAUAUUUUAUUUUUUCAAAAUUUUAAUUAAUUUUUCUUUUUUCCUUCACUUUCUCCUCCUUCCACCUGUUGGUCGUCGUUGCGAUUGGCUAGAGGCAGGGCCAGCAAGGGACCUCGCCGGCCUCAAGAAAGCAUGGCCAUGGUUGGGCAACCUCACUUAAGCCACCCACUAGCUGGCGAGGGUUGAGCCUUGCUAAAGGCUCAAGGUCGAAGGGCGUGACCUAGCGAGGUCCAAGGCUGCGACCUCUAGUCUGGGUGAGCCUUAUCGAUCAUGGGUAGGUUGCAGCCUCACCAUCAUUGGGCAAAAGGUUGACCUCGGCAAUGCUCGCCUCUGGCCAAUCACCACCAGCCAGAGGAAGGAGGAGGAAGUGAAGGACAAAAAGAGAUAGAAAAAGAAAAGUAGAGAAAAAAGAAAAAAAUUAAUAAAAAAACUCAAAAAAAUAAAAUAUUAUUAAAAUAUUGUCCACAUUAGUGUUAGCCAAAUAACUGGCACGGCUAGCCAAAGUUAGCUGUAUAGACUGAAUUAACACAAUUGUAAAAAGUUUAAGAAUGAACGGCUAAAAUGAAGAUGCUAGACUCACCAGCUUGAUCAUAAAGUUCGUAACUUAUUUUGAUCAUCUUGUCACCUUUUUUGAGAAAUAAUUUAUUAUAUGCACAAUAUACAUCCAUAUUUAAUCCAUUUGAAGUUUUGAUUCUAAUAGAUCCAUUUCAGUACACGAUUAACAUAGUUUUCAUGAACUAAUUAGUCGGGUAUCAUGCCAGCAACUCCAAAACCGAGGUGAGAUAGAGCACGGGACAAAAUUUUUGAAAAAUAGAAGAAGAAGGAACGAGCAUGUGACAUUUCACAUGAUCAAAUCAAAAAAUUCACCCAGAAAGUGUCUUGAGCGAUCAAAGCUAGACACUCGUUGUUAUGCCAUUUGGCAAAUUAAAUCUGAGAGUAUGUCGCAUCUCGAGCACCUUUUGCCUAAGAGAGACAUUAAACAUUAUAUAGUCCAACAUAAUUAAGAUGUAUUACUGCACUUAAUUACUAUACAAUUAUAGUGGAGCUUUUUAAGACAUCCAAAGUGCGAUAACCCUUAAGAGAAGGGUAUCAACGCUAAUCCCAGGUCUGCAGCAACUCUUAGGAUUAGCUAUAUAGAGUUAUACAUGUUGUCCACAAUACAUAUACAAAAUACGUAUUUCAUACUUAGUUGAACCUAGCUAAUGGGAGAGGAGAGCGCCGUGGCAGUGGUGGCGUUGCCGCCAAGAAGUUCCUGCCGUGAAAAUCCACCAUUAGCAUGCCACCGUACGCUUUAGCCGCCUCAAAGCAGUCCAUGGGCUUCUGGGGAGGUGCUUGAGGAAUCAGGGGUUGCCUAGCCUUCUUCUUGGCGAUGCCCUCUUCUAACAUGGCGAAGGCUUCCUCUGCAAUUUUGGCAAGUUCGCGUGAAUGAGCCAUGAUAAGUGCUUGCUGCUCUGAUACCUCGUGCUAUCUAUGAGGCUGUGUUCUUUGUGCUGCUUCUGUGUGGUGAAGAACGAAACCCCCCUGGCCCUUUUUAUACCUCCAACUUCUCUGGAAAUAAGGCAAUAAUUCAAAAAGG